UACAGAGGGUGCGAGCGUUAAUCGGAAUUACUGGGCGUAAAGCGUGCGUAGACGGUCAUGUAAGUCGGAUGUGAAAGCCCCGGGCUCAACCUGGGAACUGCAUUUGUGACUGUAGAGCUGGAGUACGGCAGAGGGGGAUGGAAUUCCGCGUGUAGCAGUGAAAUGCGUAGAUAUGCGGAGGAACACCGAUGGCGAAGGCAAUCCCCUGGGCCUGUACUGACGCUCAUGCACGAAAGCGUGGGGAGCAAACAGG
rnacentral:rRNA from 1 species